UUGAUGGUUCUUACUACACGGAUAACUGUAGUAAUUCUAGAGCUAAUACGUGCGUAAAAUCCCGACUCUUGCGGGGAGGGAUGUAUUUAUUAGAUAAAAAGCCAGCGCGGGUUCUGCCCGGUUUUGUGGUGAAUCAUAGUAACUUUUCGAAUCGCAUGGCUUCACGCCGGCGAUAGUUCAUUCAAAUUUCUGCCCUAUCAGCUUUCGACGGUAGUGUAGUGGACUACCGUGGCAUUAACGGGUAACGGAGAAUUAGGGUUCGAUUCCGGAGAGGGAGCCUGAGAAACGGCUACCACAUCCAAGGAAGGCAGCAGGCGCGCAAAUUACCCAAUUCUGACACAGAGAGGUAGUGACAAAAAAUAACAAUACCUGGCUUCUUUAGGUCGGGUAAUUGCAAUGAGUACAAUUUAAAUCCCUUAACGAGGAUCCAUUGGAGGGCAAGCCUGGUGCCAGCAGCCACGGUAAUUCCAGCUCCAAGAGCGUAUAUUAAAGUUGUUGCAGUUAAAAAGCUCGUAGUUGGAUUUCUGGUACAACGCGCCUGGCCCGCUUUUAGUGAGUGCCGGUGCGCGUUUGCCAUCCUUCUAGAAAACGUUUCUACCUGGGCAACCGGGCCGGACUCGCGAUCUAGAUCUUUUACUUUGAAAAAAUUAGAGUGUUUAAAGCAGGCUUUUGCUGUGAAUACAUUAGCAUGGAAUAAUAAUCUAGGACUUCGGUUCUAUUUUGUUGGUUUCUAGUACUGAAGUAAUGAUUGAUAGGGAUAGUUGGGGGUGCUAGUAUUGGCCGGCCAGAGGUGAAAUUCUUGGAUUCGGUCAAGACUAACUUAUGCGAAAGCAUUCACCAAGGAUGUCUUCUUUAAUCAAGAACGAAAGUUGGGGGAUCGAAGACGAUCAGAUACCGUCGUAGUCUCAACCAUAAACUAUGCCAACUAGGGAUGGGUGAACGUUGUUUUUUUGACUUCAUCUGCACUUAUGAGAAUCAAAGUCUUUGGGUUC
rnacentral:rRNA from 1 species